GAGUUUGAUCGUGGCUCAGAACGAACGCUGGCGGCGUGCUUAACACAUGCAAGUCGAACGAGAAAGAGCUCUUCGGAGCUUGAGUAAAGUGGCGCACGGGUGAGUAACGCGUAGAUAACCUGUCCAGGUGUUCGGGGAUAGCCCUCCGAAAGGGGGAUUAAUACCGGAUACGUUAGUUGUCAUAAGGCAAAUUAAGAAAGGUGGCCUCUAUUUACAAGCUAUCGCACUUGGAGGGGUCUGCGUACCAUUAGUUUGUUGGUGGGGUAAUGGCCUACCAAGACUUCGAUGGUUAGCGGGUCUGAGAGGAUGAUCCGUCACACUGGCACUGAAACACGGGCCAGACUCCUACGGGAGGCAGCAGUGAGGAAUAUUGCGCAAUGGGGGAAACCCUGACGCAGCGACGCCGCGUGGGUGAGGAAGGCUUUCGGUCGUAAAGCCUGUCAGAAGGGAAGAAAGUGUGUAGUGGUUAAGUACCCAAUUGCGACUUGACGGUACCUUCAAAGGAAGACACCGGCUAACUCCGUGCCAGCAGCCGCCGUAAC
rnacentral:rRNA from 1 species